AGUGAACGCUGGCGGUAGGCCUAACACAUGCAAGUCGAACGGCAGCACAGUAAGAGCUUGCUCUUACGGGUGGCGAGUGGCGGACGGGUGAGGAAUACAUCGGAAUCUACUUUUUCGUGGGGGAUAACGUAGGGAAACUUACGCUAAUACCGCAUACGACCUACGGGUGAAAGCAGGGGAUCUUCGGACCUUGCGCGAUUGAAUGAGCCGAUGUCGGAUUAGCUAGUUGGCGGGGUAAAGGCCCACCAAGGCGACGAUCCGUAGCUGGUCUGAGAGGAUGAUCAGCCACACUGGAACUGAGACACGGUCCAGACUCCUACGGGAGGCAGCAGUGGGGAAUAUUGGACAAUGGGCGCAAGCCUGAUCCAGCCAUACCGCGUGGGUGAAGAAGGCCUUCGGGCUGUAAAGCCCUUUUGUUGGGAAAGAAAAGCAGCAGGUUAAUACCCCGCUGUUCUGACGGUGCCCAAAGAAUAAGCACCGGCUAACUUCGUG
rnacentral:rRNA from 1 species